rnacentral:rRNA from 1 species
AGAGUUUGAUUAUGGCUCAGGAUGAACGCUAGCGACAGGCUUAACACAUGCAAGUCGAGGGGCAGCACGGGAGUAGCAAUACUUGGUGGCGACCGGCGCACGGGUGAGUAACGCGUAUGCAACCUACCUACCAGAGGGGAAUAACCCGGCGAAAGUCGGACUAAUACCGCAUAAAACAGGGGCACCGCAUGGUGAUAUUUGUUAAAGAAAUUCGCUGAUAGAUGGGCAUGCGUUCCAUUAGGUAGUUGGUGAGGUAACGGCUCACCAAGCCGACGAUGGAUAGGGAACUGAGAGGUUGGUCCCCCACACUGGUACUGAGACACGGACCAGACUCCUACGGGAGGCAGCAGUGAGGAAUAUUGGUCAAUGGGCGGGAGCCUGAACCAGCCAAGUCGCCGUGAAGGAAGAAGGAUCUAUGGUUCGUAAACUUCUUUUGCAGGGGAAUAAAGUGCAGGACGUGUCCUGUUUUGUAUGUACCCUGAGAAUAAGGAUCGGCCAACUCCGUGCCAGCCGCCGC